rnacentral:rRNA from 1 species
CGGCGUGCUUAACACAUAGCAAGUCGAACGGAGUGGUCUCCCGAGGAUGAUGGUGCUUGCACCUGAUUGACUCAUUGAAUCACGUUAGUGGCGGACGGGUGAGUAACGCGUGGGAAACCUGCCCUAUACUGGGGGAUAGCAGUUGGAAACGACUGAUAAUACCGCAUAAGCGCACAGGACCGCAUGGUCUAGUGUGAAAAACUCCGGUGGUAUAGGAUGGUCCCGCGUCUGAUUAGCUAGUUGGUGAGGUAACGGGCCCACCAAGGCGACGAUCAGUAGCCGGCCUGAGAGGGUGUACGGCCACAUUGGGACUGAGACACGGCCCAAACUCCUACGGGAGGCAGCAGUGGGGAAUAUUGGACAAUGGGGGAAACCCUGAUCCAAGCGACGCCGCGUGAACGAUGAAGUAUUCGGUAUGUAAAGUUCUAUCAGCAGGGAAGAUAAUGACGGUACCUGACUAAGAAGCACCGGCUAAAUACGUGCCAGCCGCCGC